rnacentral:rRNA from 1 species
UGGGGAAUAUUGGACAAUGGGGGCAACCCUGAUCCAGCGAUGCCGCGUGGGUGAAGAAGGCCUUCGGGUUGUAAAGCCCUUUAGGUUGGGACGAAGUGUAUAAGUUUAAGAGAUGUAUACAUUGACGGUACCGACAGAAUAAGCACCGGCAAACUCUGUGCCAGCAGCCGCGGUAAUACAGAGGGGGCGAGCGUUAAUCGGAAUUACUGGGCGUAAAGGGCGCGUAGGCGGGAGAAAGGGUGUGAUGUG